UACGUAGGGGGCAAGCGUUGUCCGGAAUCAUUGGGCGUAAAGAGCGUGUAGGCGGCCCGAUAAGUCGGCUGUGAAAGUCAAGGGCUCAACCCUUGAAUGCCGGCCGAUACUGUCAGGCUAGAGUCCGGAAGAGGCGAGUGGAAUUCCUGGUGUAGCGGUGAAAUGCGCAGAGAUCGGGAGGAACACCCGUAGCGAAGGCGGCACUCUGGGCCGGUACUGACGCUGAGGAGCGAAAGCGUGGGGAGCAAACAGG
rnacentral:rRNA from 1 species